GCGGGAAGAGCUCAAAUUUGUAAUCUGGCACUUUCAGUGUCCGAGUUGUAAUCUCGAGAAGUAUUUUCCGCGCCGGACCGCAUACAAGUCUGUUGGAAUACAGCGUCAUAGUGGUGAGAACCCCGUAACUGAUGCGGAUGCCCGGUGCUUUGUGAUAUACUUUCGAAGAGUCGAGUUGUUUGGGAAUGCAGCUCAAAUUGGGUGGUAAAUUCCAUCUAAAGCUAAAUAUUGGAGCAAGACCGAUAGCGAACAAGUACCGUGAGGGAAAGAUGAAAAGCACUUUGGAAAGAGAGUUAACAGUACGUGAAAUUGUUGGAAGGGAAACGCUUGAAGUCAGACUUGCUAUUCGGAGUUCAGCCGCAAGGUGUAUUCUUCGAUUCGCAGGCCAGCAUCAGUUUUCGGGGGUGGAAAAUCGCGGUUUGAAGGUAGCAACCUCGGUUGUGUUAUAGCUUUCCGCUGGAUUCAUCCUUGGGGACUGAGGAACG
rnacentral:rRNA from 1 species